UUGAUGUGUAUAUGUUCUAUGGCUUCUUCAACAUUGUUCACUACUUUUAUAAUGGAAUGUAGUUGCCUUUGUAAAGUUAACCAAACCUGGUGUUUUUGCAUAUUUUUAACCAAACAGAAACAGAAACAAAAACAGUAAAUACUGAAAUACGAGGGAAGAUUGUUGACUAAAACAUCGUGAUCUGAUAGAAUUAGAUUUCACGUCUAUACAGUAAUCACAUCUCAAUAGCAGAAAACCCCUGAAGAAAUAAAGUAUAAUAAACGAAUAAAAAAAAGUAUAAGAACGAAAAGGUGAAGAAGAAGAUGAACACCAAGAAUCCCAAUGAAGAGAACAAUAAAACGCAGUUUCCUUUUUAAGUUGUAAUGCAUCUAAAGCGGUUAGUUAACCUGACAAAAUCAGAGUUUACAGAAAAAACCCGCCAACAAAAUAGAUGAAGAAGAAGGCAGGGAAAUACUAGCAAAUUAAAAUAAUACCAAUUAACCUUCGAUUCUUUCUUAUUCAAACUCCAAUUUUAAUUUUACAUGGAAAUUACAACAUCUUAAUCACAAAAAACAACCCUAGAGAAACUUACAACGAUCUUGAUAAUUUCUUGGAGCAGAGAGAUGAAUGAGAGUUUCCUGAGAAGGUUGGGGGUGUUUAGGCCUCCGGCAGUGGCGCUACCUAGAUCACUAUGGGUGUGGGGGUGUCUGGGUUUGCUGAGAGCGGAAUGAAUGAAGAGCGCGCGACCACAAACCAAUCCUUUCGAAUUCAAAGGGUUUUCUUAGAUCUCCGGCGAAGGAAGGUGGUGUAUUGGUCUCCGGGGAGAGGAGUUAGAGAGAUCGUCAGGGGUCCCCGGGGCUUUUUUGGGUCCGUUGAGAG
rnacentral:lncRNA from 1 species